GCCUUAGUAGUUUAAUAUAAAACACCGGUCUUGUAAGCCAAAGACGGGGCCCCACCUUGCCCCCUAAGACA
rnacentral:tRNA from 1 species